GGACCCGCACAAGCGGUGGAGCAUGUGGUUUAAUUCGAUGCAACGCGAAGAACCUUACCUGGUCUUGACAUCCUGCGAACUUUCUAGAAAUAGAUUGGUGCCUUCGGGAACGCAGUGACAGGUGCUGCAUGGCUGUCGUCAGCUCGUGUCGUGAGAUGUUGGGUUAAGUCCCGUAACGAGCGCAACCCCUAUCCUUAUUUGCCAGCACAUCAUGGUGGGAACUAUAAGGAGACUGCCGGUGAUAAACCGGAGGAAGGCGGGGACGACGUCAAGUCAUCAUGGCCCUUACGACCAGGGCUACACACGUGCUACAAUGGGAAGGACAAAGAGCCGCGAAGCCGCGAGGUGUAGCUAAAUCCGAGAAAGCCGGUCGUAGUCCGGAUUGGGGUCUGCAACUCGACCCCAUGAAGUCGGAAUC
rnacentral:rRNA from 1 species